rnacentral:rRNA from 2 species
AGCGGCGGACGGGUGAGUAACACGUGGGUAACCUGCCCAUAAGACUGGGAUAACUCCGGGAAACCGGGGCUAAUACCGGAUAACAUUUUGCGCUGCAUGGUGCGAAAUUGAAAGGCGGCUUCGGCUGUCACUUAUGGAUGGACCCGCGUCGCAUUAGCUAGUUGGUGAGGUAACGGCUCACCAAGGCAACGAUGCGUAGCCGACCUGAGAGGGUGAUCGGCCACACUGGGACUGAGACACGGCCCAGACUCCUACGGGAGGCAGCAGUAGGGAAUCUUCCGCAAUGGACGAAAGUCUGACGGAGCAACGCCGCGUGAGUGAUGAAGGCUUUCGGGUCGUAAAACUCUGUUGUUAGGGAAGAACAAGUGCUAGUUGAAUAAGCUGGCACCUUGACGGUACCUAACCAGAAAGCCACGGCUAACUACGUGCCAGCAGCCGCGGUAAUACGUAGGUGGCAAGCGUUAUCCGGAAUUAUUGGGCGUAAAGCGCGCGCAGGUGGUUUCUUAAGUCUGAUGUGAGAGCCCACGGCUCAACCGUGGAGGGUCAUUGGAAACUGGGAGACUUGAGUGCAGAAGAGGAAAGUGGAAUUCCAUGUGUAGCGGUGAAAUGCGUACAGAUAUGGAGGAACACCACUGGCGAAAGCGACUUUUCUGGUCUGUAACUGACACUGAGGCGCCACAACGUGUGGAGCAGACACGAUGACAUACCCUGAUAGUCCACGCCGCAUACGACGAGUGCUACCUGCUAGAUGGUUGCCACCCUCUAGUGCUGAAGUGAAUUCACUCAUUCACUCUCCCGCCGGAGUACUGCCGCUUUGCAGAGGCUCACCCGAAGUGGACUGCGGGCGCUUCACAGUAGAGUCAAGAAGACUUCAUCCAAUGCAAUUCGACGACAUACCGAGCAUGACUCGACUUCUACAUAACCUAGCUUGCGCUCAUUCGAGCAGUGAUGAUGUACGUC